rnacentral:rRNA from 1 species
GAUGAACGCUGGCGGCGUGCCUAAUACAUGCAAGUCGAGCGAACAGACGAGGAGCUUGCUCCUCUGACGUUAGCGGCGGACGGGUGAGCAACACGUGGAUAACCUACCUAUAAGACUGGGAUAACUUCGGGAAACCGGAGCUAAUACCGGAUAAUAUAUUGAACCGCAUGGUUCAAUAGUUAAAGACGGUUUUGCUGUCACUUAUAGAUGAAUCCGCGCCGCAUUAGCUAGUUGGUAAGGUAACGGCUUACCAAGGCAACGAUGCGUAGCCGACCUGAGAGGGUGGUCGGCCACACUGGAAGUGAGACACGGUCCAGACUCCUACGGGAGGCAGCAGUAGGGAAUCUUCCGCAAUGGGCGAAAGCUUGACGGAGCAACGCCGCGUGAGUGAUGAAGGUCUUCGGAUCGUAAAACUCUGUUAUUAGGGAAGAACAAAUGUGUAAGUAACUAUGCACGUCUUGACGGUACCUAAUCAGAAAGCCACGGCUAACUACGUG